UUUAUUUUGUAAACAGAUUUAUUUGGUAAAACAAACAAUUCAGCUGUAUGUUUUUCACAGUGAGAGAAGUGUUAACGCUAGAAAGCUUAGAACAGUUUAUAAAAGUUUCAUAUGUGAAGUAUGUUGAAUAUAUUGCUAUUACUAAUACCCUUGCCACAUAUUACAUGCACAAUUUGUAUCGUAUUUAUUUAAUUAUAUACUUAUUCUAAUGCUUCCAUUUUGUAUUUGUUGCAUGUCCUUUGUCGUUCCAGGCAGAAUUCACGAUCAAACAAUCUAUACAAAGGACAUGUUAGUUCAGUCUGUGUUUUUAUAUGGUGGAUCCAGUAAUCUUUUCUAUUGUAGUGUUAUGGUUCUCUGCUGGGUCGUGUAACACACUCGAUUCAUGUGUAUUCGUGCAAAGAGACGAUAGCUUCAACAAUAAGAGCUUCUACCGGGUCACAAUACCCCUAAAAUGAAAGUAUAAAAAGUAUGUAAAAAAAGGGCUGCGAUUCCUUAACUUGCGGCUUGCAAAUUAAAGCCAACAUUCUGCACUUCAACCUCUUAGUCACAAUUUGAAAUACACAGUGCUGAAGUACAGAACCAAAACCUGUGUCACUGUCCAAAUACUUACGGACUGCACUGUGUAGACCGCACUGAUGCUUAAGUGAGGACCGAGGUGAUUCCACUGAACGUCAUGGGUGGAUCCUAGAUAGUUAGCCAGGGUCAGGUUUAAAAUGUUAGCCAGGGUCAGGUUUAAAAUGUUAGCCAGGGUCAGGUUUAAAUUGUUAGCCAGGGUCAGGUUUAGAUUGUUAGCCAGGUUCGGGGUUAGUGGGGGAUAUCUGCUUCACCAGGGGUCCAUCUUUGAGGGGAUUUCUUCGUCAGGUCAGAGAUCGCCAGGGAAUCAGGUGUGGUUUAUUUCAAUGUCCAGUAUUAGCUAUGAAGAAAAUUAACUGGCAUAAUCUUUGUCUGUAGACGUGGCCCUACAUACUCCAACCCCUCUGUCAAGGGGACCCAAUUAUUUAAGUAAGAUGGAAGGGCACUCUCCUGCCUUUACUGCAAUUUGUGUUUCUUACAGAACUCCUGCUCCAGUUCCAUGAAGCUGUCAUGGACAUCUUUGUUCCAAGGAGCACUUCUUGUUUUGAUAAGUUUCUAAGAAGUGUGAUGCCUCCCCUUUACGGCUCCUACCUAAGAUUAUCUGAGCAAGAAGACUCUCAUUCAGCAUCCUCAAGAUGCAAGGGAAAGCACUGGCUGACAACACUCUUCUUUGGCUUCAUCUUCUAAUGUUAGCAUGAUUGGAGGACCUUCACGACUUCCGUCAAUGGAACGGCAUCUUCUUUGUUACAAUUUUUCUGUUUGAUUGACCUGUGUGCAUUAGAAGUUACGUACCCUCUCCACGAAGAGGUCAUUAGUUUCACAAAUUUGUUUGCCUCUGCAUGAGUCUCUACGUCCCCAUUUAUUACACUUCUGCUAGCUAAACACUCUGCUGCUUUGGUAAGUGAGUGUCCUAUCCUAAUAACCAAACUUGUUUUUGUGUAGUCAAUUACAUCCGGAUUGAACCUGCUGACCUUCUUUGCUGCUUCAAGAACCAGUUCGAACCGGCUCGGUUUACAGACGUCCUGUAGGUGCUUUACACUGUUAUCAAGCUCUUUGAGCACCAGCAUGAGUCUACCCACUUCCCGCAGUCUUUUGCAGAUGUAGCCAUGCUGGGACAACUCAUGACCGCGCUCUGCAUACAAACAGUCCCCUAACUGACAAAUUAACAGGUCGUUUCGUAUGUGAAAAGCCACUGAAUCUUGUUGCAUUUUGUGGAUGAUCUUUUGGCAGCCUUCCGAAGCACUUUUAGAGAUUGGGAUCAGAUGGGAUGCUAUAGAUUGGACCCUCUUCCUUGACCCCUUUUCUCCUUCCUUUUUUGGCCUACAUGAUGACUCGUGUCUCCAUAACUUGCUUUUUACAAAAAAACCAAGACAGUGAGAACAGGGCAGGUAGUCCUCAAUGGAAGCACUUCCUGGGGGUUGUCUCCAUGUAACGAUCUCUCCCUUACCCUCUUCAAGCACUAAGAUGUUGUGUUGAUAGUCACCUUUUUUUCUCAGCUCUUCAAGCAAGGCUGACCUUUUCUUAGAGCCUUUCGGGAAGCUACAAGCCCGGGCUACGUCCUCCUCAUCUCCAUGCUUUCUUUCUAAGUGCCUGGAUAUUUUAGAAUUGGGUUUCAUGCAGUAUAUACAGAAAUGCUUUUUGUCAUAGAGCCUUUUCCCAUCCUUGGUCUUACUGCAGGUUUUGAUUGUUAAUGUAGACAUGCUUUUUUCCUGUUCAAUAGGGUCAAUUUUAGACUUUGGGGACAGGGUAGAGGGCGUGCAGGGUGUCUCACUGUCUGUUGAAUCAGAAUUUUCCUCUGCUGGGAUGAAGUGGGGAUAAUUCAUUUGAUCAUCUGACAACACGUCAAAAUCCUCAUCUGACGUCAAGCUCAUUUGGUCAGAAAACGUGUAAUUAGGGACUCUCUGGGAGCGGGGACGGGUGGCCCUGGUCUUGGUCGAACUGGAGAGCCGGGACUUCUUGGUAGCAACUGUGGCAUCAAAAGUGAAGUCUAACAGAUGACAAGGAGAAAAACAGAAACCGAAAAGCAUUAUUACAUUAAACUUACACU
ensembl:lncRNA